UACAGAGGGGGCAAGCGUUGUUCGGAAUUACUGGGCGUAAAGGGCGCGUAGGCGGCCCUCUAAGUCGAACGUGAAAUCCCUGGGCUCAACCCAGGAACUGCGUCUGAUACUGGAUGGCUUGAGUUUGGGAGAGGGAUGCGGAAUUCCAGGUGUAGCGGUGAAAUGCGUAGAUAUCUGGAGGAACACCGGUGGCGAAGGCGGCAUCCUGGACCAACACUGACACUGAUGAGCGAAAGCCAGGGGAGCAAACGGG
rnacentral:rRNA from 1 species